CCCAACGCUCCUCACCUAGCCCCUGUCCUGAGGGUGCCCCUAACCCUGGAGCCAGCUUUAAAGGGGCAGGCCCCUUCUCCUGCCCCAGCCCCAGCCCCACCCACCGGGCCCACAUUCUCCGUCUUCCAGGUCCAGCGCUCCCUCACAGAACUCCCCCGCACCUUGUCUCGCUCGCUCCGCCCCUCCUUCCCAGCCACAGCUAGAGGUCCCGGGCGCACCUGCAGAGCCGGAGGCUUGCUGGGGCAUGCGCUCCAUGAAGGCUCUGCAGAAGGCCCUGAGCCGGGCUGGCAGUCACUGCGGGCGAGGAGGCUGGGGUCACCCGAGCCGGAGCCCCCUCCUUGGCGGGGGCGUCCGGCACCACCUCAGUGAGGCCGCGGCGCAGGGCAGAGAGACGCCACACAGCCACCAGCCGCAGCACCAGGAUCAUGAUUCAUCAGAAAGUGGCAUGCUGUCCCGCCUGGGUGAUUUGCUCUUUUACACUAUUGCUGAAGGACAGGAACGAAUCCCUAUCCACAAGUUCACCACUGCACUAAAGGCCACUGGACUGCAGACAUCAGAUCCUCGGCUCCGAGACUGCAUGAGCGAGAUGCACCGCGUGGUCCAAGAGUCCAGUAGUGGUGGCCUCUUGGACCGAGAUCUCUUCCGAAAGUGAGGGCCCCAGAAACAAGGGCACUGCUCUCUGAAAACUGUCCUGUGGACAUAGACUCUCAGAGCAGGGAGGAAUUUGGGAAUUGUAUAGUUCAAUUCCUCAUUUUAUUUUAUUACUUAUUACAUAAGUUAUACAUGAAUACUCAUCAUAAGAGUUCAAACAAUAUAGAAAUACAUGUUCUCCUUUCCCUCCCUACUCAAUCCCUGUCCU
rnacentral:lncRNA from 1 species